rnacentral:lncRNA from 1 species
AAGCAUCUGAAAUUGCUGAAUCACGCCUCAAGUCUGUUCUGUAGAAAUGUCCUUCAGCUUUGCACAUAAAGAAAUGCAGUGAGUUAUAACGAAAUGGCAGCUUUGGAUGCAGAAUCCAGGUCUGGAGCAAGUCAGCAUCGGCUUUAAGAGGCCUUGGGAAGACUUGCUAAUUAUCUGUGCAAAUAAAGAAGCCUUGGUCCAGAUGGAAUCAGAUCUCUGAUACCUGGCUUUUGAACCAUCAUGUGGACUACCAUCAGGUGUGGGCUUGCAGAAAAGUGUAUCAGGGAUACAGCUCAAGUUUUAGAUGAAGCUGCCAGACCAGAUGGGCUUCUGAAGAGAGCACAGAACAGACUCCUCCAGACAACAGAAAAUGAUGGCCUUUUUUGUGGACAGCUGGUAAAGACAGGGGAUUCCAGCCCUCUACACUGCUCUCAUGAGAGCCCAGCUGGAGAGCCCACAUGGAGAACCACCCAGCAUAGGAAGGACAUCAGUCUGUUGGAGCAAUUCCAGAGGAGGGCCAUGAAGAAGAUCAGAGGGAAGGAAGACUUCUAUGAGAAGAGUCUGAGAGAAUUAGGGUUGAAGAGCCCAGAGAAGAGAAGGAUCCAGGGACACCUAAUAGUACCUUCCAGUAGCUAAAGAAAGCCUACAAGAAAGGUGGAGACAGAGUUUUGACAAGGGCAGGUAGUGAAAGGACAAGGAGGAAUGGCUUCAAAUUGAAAGAGAGCGGGUUUAGAUUAGGUAUAUGGAAGAAAUUCUUUCCUGUGAGGGGCGGUAAGACAUUGGAAUACACUUCCCAGAGAAGUUGUGGAUGCCCCAACCCUGGAAAUAUUCAAGGCCAGGUUGGAUGUGGCUUUAAGUAAUCUGAUCUCAUGGAAGGUGUCCCUAGCCAUGACCAGGGGGUUUUAAACUGGGUGGUCUUUAGGUUGUCUUCCAACCCAAAUCAUUCUAUGAUUCACUAUUUCUAUCUACCCACUGUCUCCUCAUCUCCUGUGCUAGGAUCCUGAAUGUUUCAGAUCAAUUACUAUGAACCUGAAAAUUCAUUAAAUCUUUGGGAUAUUCUGUGUAGGCACUUGCCAUUAAAAACAAGAAUGGAAAGAAAAUACACAGAUAAUGCAGCAAAUGGUUAUAAUUAAGCAUUAAUAUAUUUUUGGGCCUCUUUUAUUUUAUUGUUCUAGUGUAUGAGGAAUACAUAUAUUAUUUAAGAAAAUAAACCAGGAAAUUUGGAAAAGUGUUUCCUUUUG